rnacentral:rRNA from 1 species
UACGGAGGAUGCAGGCGUUAUCCGGAUUUAUUGGGUUUAAAGGGUGCGUAGGCGGGUUAAUAAGUCAGUGGUGAAGUCCCUCAGCUUAACUGAGGAACUGCCAUUGAUACUGUUAGUCUUGAGUAUAGUUGAGGUGGGCGGAAUGUGUCAUGUAGCGGUGAAAUGCAUAGAUAUGACACAGAACACCGAUUGCGUAGGCAGCUCACUAAACUAUCACUGACGCUGAGGCACGAAAGCGUGGGGAGUGAACAGG